CUAUGCAGCUCCAUGUACCUACUUUUUGAUUCUUGUACCCUGUUGCUUUCAAAAUUUUCUGUUUCCUUCUAUCCAUCUCCCUGUCUCUAGUUCUUAACUCUUCCCUCUCUGUCCUGUACCCUGUCACUUCUUAGAUUUUCUUUCUACCUCUCCCUCUUUCUGUCUCCCUGUGCCUAUUUGUUAGUUCUUGCCUAUGUUUCUCAUAUGCUGUUGCUUUUUGAAAAUUUUCUCUCUACCUGGCUCCCUGUUUCUGUUUUCUAGUUCUUGCUGUUUCUUCUCCCAUAUCACUUGAGAAUGUUUCCCUGUCCCUUGUCCUGUCUUUAUCUUGUUGUCCUGCCAGUCCCUUCACCUUCUCUCCCCCACUUCCUAUUAUUUAUUCCUCCAUCUCCAUCCCUGUUGUUUUGCUCAGUCUCUCUGUGCUUCUCUCUCUACACUGUUUUCCUGCUUCUCGUCCCUCUCUUGUUCCCAGCAUCCCAUUUUCUGGCUCCCUGUCUUGCACCUCUGUGUCCCUCUGUCCUUCCUCCUGCUUUACUCUUCCCUUUUAUCACCCCAUCCUGCUGCCUUUGGGCACUGAGCCUUGUAGCCAACUCAUUGCCAGGAUUUCUUAUAUGCAUUAAUGAAUAAAUUUUUCCUGCCUCCUCUGUGUCCCUGGAUGUGGUUGCUUGAGACUGGCUGGGCAUCGGUCAGUUGGUGGUUUCUUAUAGGCACCCUUUACAUACCAUGAAGUCUGCUAUAAGGUCUCCUGCAAAGCUGCAUGCCAGUGAGCGGUCCGAGAAGAUGUUGAAGACCAAUGUGUCACCUUGAGGAACAUCCCAGUUAGCCUGUGUGGUUUUUGUGGAGGAUGGACUCAGCCCCUCGGCCCUCUGAAAGCUACGUUGAGGGACCAGGGCUGGGGAGAGGCUGGGA